rnacentral:lncRNA from 1 species
CUUGAUAGGAGUUGCUUGUCCUAUCUUAUCUGAGGAUGUUGAUAGAUGUCACUUAGUAUUGUGUCUCCACUUUCACAUUCGCAUAAAAUGCAUAAAAGUUAUUAUUUUUUCUUUUUUUCUUUACAUCCUUUUUUCUGAUAUUUUCUUUGUAGUGAUCAAUCUCAUAUUUUUAAUACUGAGGCAUGCCUGAUUUAACGUGCAAGGUAUGUGUAGGACACCAAGUUGUGCUGAGCAGAUGGAAGAGGAGCCAGGACUGAUGGACAUGAUUGGAUGCUGUGCCGGUGUUCAAGAUACUGUGGUGGAGAUUUGGCUUGGGCAUUACUUGGGAGAACUUCAGCACAUGAUCCUGUAGCUGAUUUGUCUGAUUUAUUCUUGGAGAUUUCUGAAUGGAAAAUGACUGUCAAGUUCCUGAUUAUCUCAUUUGUUAAACUGUGGAAUCUAUGUAGAAUCUAUGUACCAACAGAAAAGCGAUGACAACCAGUCUCCUCCAGCAUUCAAUGGAGUACUAGUAAGUACUAACAGUAUUACUUAGGUGCACCUGGAGUUACAUCAUUCAUGCAGAUCAGAUCUGAAGAAGGUGUGCUGUUAAGUCCUGUGUGUGUUUGUAGUUUAUUAUUUUGCCUUCUACUUGAAUUUGUGAUGCUUGUAAAGUCUUAUGUUGAGGAGAUAUCAGUGUGCUGUCUCCCUAAGAGAAGGCAGGACUAUCAUCUCUUGAAAUG